UCGAACGCGACUUAUUUUGUUAGCAAUAACGAAGUAAGUUGAGUGGCGAAAGGGUGCGCAACACGUGGGAAUUUACCAAAAAGUGGGGAAUAGCUUGGCGAAAGCCAAAUUAAUACCGCAUGUGAUCGAAAGAUCAAAGCCGGGGACCGCAAGGCCUGGCGCUUUUUGAGAAGCCCGCGGCCCAUCAGCUAGUUGGCGAGGUAAAAGCUCACCANGGCUAUGACGGGUAGCUGGUCUGAGAGGACGACCAGCCACACUGGAACUGAGACACGGUCCAGACACCUACGGGUGGCAGCAGNCGAGAANUNNUCACAAUGGACGAAAGUCUGAUGGAGCGACGCCGCGUGGAGGAUGAAGGUUUUCGGANNNUAAACUCCUGUCACUGCAGAACAAGGCGGUGCGUAUGAACAGUACNNNCCGUUGAUGGUGUGCGG
rnacentral:rRNA from 1 species